rnacentral:rRNA from 1 species
GAUGAACGCUAGCUACAGGCUUAACACAUGCAAGUCGAGGGGAAACGAUAGAGAAAGCUUGCUUUUUCUAGGCGUCGACCGGCGCACGGGUGAGUAACGCGUAUCCAACCUGCCCACCACUUGGGGAUAACCUUGCGAAAGUAAGACUAAUACCCAAUGAUAUCUCAAGAAGACAUCUGAAUGAGAUUAAAGAUUUAUCGGUGAUGGAUGGGGAUGCGUCUGAUUAGCUUGUUGGCGGGGUAACGGCCCACCAAGGCCACGAUCAGUAGGGGUUCUGAGAGGAAGGUCCCCCACAUUGGAACUGAGACACGGUCCAAACUCCUACGGGAGGCAGCAGUGAGGAAUAUUGGUCAAUGGGCGAGAGCCUGAACCAGCCAAGUAGCGUGCAGGAUGACGGCCCCAUGGGUUGUAAACUGCUUUUAUAAGGGAAUAAAGUGAGCCUCGUGAGGCUUUUUGCAUGUACCUUAUGAAUAAGGACCGGCUAAUUCCGUGCCAGCAGCCGCGGUAA